ACAUGAAAAGCUUAACUAUUUAAUUUACAUUUAAAUUUAAUUAGUUAAACAAAAUUAAUUAAAAUAAUAAUAUUUUAUUCGCUAGAAACUCCAACUGAUUCACCAGAUCACAUGAACAGAAAAAGAAUAUUAAAACUAGGGAAAGUGACUCUCCCACUCGGAAGCCAUAGAUGUUGCGUUCAACUUUUCAGAUCUUCUACUUUUUCGGUGGUUCGGCUUUGCCGCCGCUGAGGGAGGAUCUUCGUCAUCUUUCCUCCUUUCUAAGGCGUUUCUUGUUUCCCUAUUAUUUACGAAAGGCGUGGCUUUGUUGGGGUAAGAGUCAUUGGUGGUCGCGGUAGUCUCAGUGAGGUUUUGGGUGGUGUUUACUCUGUGGAAAAUUGGCAUCGUCUAGAGUGUUUUAGCAGGUUGUUGGUGCUCUUGAACACAGACCUAAGAUCUGAAUUUUCCAGCUUUGCGAUUCUGGUGUUCAAAUUUUCUGUGAUGCGGUAAACUGUGAUGCUGUGUUUUUGUGGGACCUCUCUCAAGUAUGGUCUCUAUGUUUGAGGUUAUGUUUGCGCCCUUGCCUCGGUAUGUGCUUUGUUUUUAUGUUUUAUAAAGUGGUUCUUGGUUGAUAAAGUUAGCUGUUCUGCUUCAUGGUGCUUUUGGAAGUUUCGAGUGGUGGUGAAGCUUUGCUUUGGAUAAGACUUUCCUAUCUGUUUACCACUGGACAAGUGUUUUGGUUUCUUAACCUUCGAAUUUCAAUAGUAGGAGAAAGAGAAGACUAUCUUCAGUGUAUUAAGACAUGUUUCCGGCGACGUGUUUCCUUCAUGUUCAAGCUGAGCUCUACUCAAGGUGCUAGUGUGGAUAAAAACAGAACAUCCAGCUAUGAAGUAAAAUUAACUUUGGACAGUGCAGUCUCUUUUGUAUCUCAAUAAACCUUUGUUUGGGAUAGGCUCACAAAAAUCUUCGAGUCAGGCGAGUGAUUAUAGAAUCUUCCUGUACAAAAGCAAGAAAAGCUAUCCUCAAUCCAGAGAAGUUUCCAGCGUUGAGGUCUCUGACCUAUGCUAUCCUCCAUUCCACGUAAAUAUAGUUUUUACUUUUUA